GUAGGUGGCAAGCGUUGUCCGGGAAUUAUUGGGGCGUAAAGCGCGCGCAGGCGGUUCAUUAAGUCUGAUGUGAAAGCCCACGGGCUCAACCGUGGAGGGUCAUUGGAAACUGGAGAACUUGAGUACAGAAGAGGAAAGCGGAAUUCCACGUGUAGCGGUGAAAUGCGUAGAGAUGUGGAGGAACACCAGUGGCGAAGGCGGCUUUCUGGUCUGUAACUGACGCUGAGGCACGAAAGCGUGGGGAGCAAACAGGAUUAGAUACCCUGGUAGUCCACGCCGUAAACGAUGAGUGCUAAGUGUUAGGGGGUUUCCGCCCCUUAGUGCUGCAGCUAACGCAUUAAGCACUCCGCCUGGGGAGUACGGCCGCAAAGGCUGA
rnacentral:rRNA from 1 species